AUACGUAGGGGGCAAGCGUUAUCCGGAAUUAUUGGGCGUAAAGAGUGCGUAGGUGGUUACCUAAGCAGGGGGUGAAAGGCAUUGGCUUAACCAAUGUUAGCCCCCUGAACUGGGCUACUUGAGUGCAGAAGAGGUAAGUGGAAUUCCCAGUGUAGCGGUGAAAUGCGUAGAGAUUGGGAGGAACACCAGUGGCGAAGGCGACUUACUGGGCCGUAACUGACGCUGAGGCGCGAAAGCGUGGGGAGCGAACAGGAUAGAUACCCUGGUAGUCCACGCGGUAAACGAUGAAUGCUAGGUGUUGCGGGUAUCGACCCCUGCAGUGCCGGAGUAAACACAAUAAGCAUUCCGCCUGGGGAGUACGGCCGCAAGGUUGAAACUCAAAGGAAUUGACGGGG
rnacentral:rRNA from 1 species